UACGGGGGGGGCAAGCGUUGUUCGGAUUUACUGGGCGUAAAGGGCUCGUAGGUGGCCAACUAAGUCAGACGUGAAAUCCCUCGGCUUAACCGGGGAACUGCGUCUGAUACUGGAUGGCUUGAGUUUGGGAGAGGGACGCGGAAUUCCAGGUGUAGCGGUGAAAUGCGUAGAUACCUGGAGGAACACCGGUGGCGAAGGCGGCGUUCUGGACUGCAACUGACACUGAGGAACGAAAGCCAGGGGAGCAAACGGG
rnacentral:rRNA from 1 species